rnacentral:misc_RNA from 1 species
GUAGGUGAACCUGCGGAAGGAUCAUUAUUGAAAUAAACCUGAUGGGUUGCUGCUGGCUCUCUAGGGGGCAUGUGCACGCCUUGUCAUCUUUAUAUCUCCACCUGUGCACUUUUUGUAGACCUUUCGGGUCUAUGUUGCUUCAUUUACCCCAAUGUAUGUUAAUAGAAUGUUUUGACUAUAUAAUAUAUACAACUUUCAGCAACGGAUCUCUUGGCUCUC